AAACUAACAAGGAUUCCCCUAGUAACGGCGAGUGAAGCGGGAAGAGCUCAAAUUUGAAAUCUGGCAGUCUUCGAUUGUCCGAGUUGUAAUCUAUAGAGGCGUUUUCCGUGCCGGACCGUGUCCAAGUCUCCUGGAAAGGAGUAUCAAAGAGGGUGAUAAUCCCGUACUUAACACGACCACCGGUGCUCUGUGAUACGUCUUCUACGAGUCGAGUUGUUUGGGAAUGCAGCUCAAAAUGGGUGGUGAAUUCCAUCUAAAGCUAAAUAUUGGCGAGAGACCGAUAGCGAACAAGUACCGUGAGGGAAAGAUGAAAAGCACUUUGGAAAGAGAGUUAAACAGUACGUGAAAUUGUUGAAAGGGAAACGAUUGAAGUCAGUCGUGUUCUUUGGAUUCAGCCAGUUCUGCUGGUCUACUUCCUUGGAACGGGUCAACAUCAGUUUUGUCCGGUGGAUAAAGGUAGUAGGAAUGUGACUUCUCCGGAAGUGUUAUAGCCUAUUAUCACAUACACUGGGUGAGACUGAGGACUGCAGCUCGCCUUUAUGGCCGGCCUUCGGGCACGUUCGAGCUUAGGAUGUUGACAUAAUGGCUUUAAACGACCCG
rnacentral:rRNA from 1 species